AAAUAAACCAUGUUCAUUGCAGUGUGCCUCUGUUAGGAGAGUGCUUCUCUCUCUGUCGGUCGCUCCGUUUUUUUGACGACUUAUAGAGAGCGUGUGUGCAGGGACAGGCUCUUUAUGUGCUCUCUGCUCUCUCUGUGCUUUCUCUCUUUUUUUCACUUUCUGUUUAUCGUGACUAUUUUGUCAGGAGCUGGUUGAGAGAUAGACCUGGCAGGAGAGCGGCAGAACUGGAUUUGUUUGAAAGAACAACCGUAGACAAGAAGUGCAUAGAGAAGAGUUUGUUUUGAACUUCCAGCAUGAGAAGAUAGACAUCUUUUGAAGAACAAAGAGAGAAAGAGGGACUGAAAGAUGUACGACCUGCAAACAACAAGGUGGCUGAGUCAACCUUUGUCUUAAUGAGGAAAUGGAGAUGGUCUAUCGUCAAUGGUUUUUAUGGUCCCUGCUGUAUUUUCACUGAAAGAGCCGGCCUACUCUGUCCACCAAGCCUGACUCCAUUUUGAUGCCAGACGAGGAGACGAGGACUGACCAGCCCUUUGGUUCCCACACCAUGUUGGCUCCAGCCCACACCAUUGGCUACCCACUACCACACCAGUACGUUGGCAUUUCUCUUUUCGUAUUUCUGUAUUUUUCUAUUCAUUUCUCUAUUAAUUUCUCUCUUGGUCUUGGUUUGUCGUGAUAAGUGCGAAACUGGACCUAUGAUUCUGUACCUCUCAUUCUCUCAUGUUCAACUGACCUUACCCUAUAGUACCUGUAUUGUUUUUAACGGUGAUUGUGAAUUCCUAUAUUUCUCGGAGAUAAGUACGGUAACAUAAAUAAAGCGAAUUAAAUCUCUCCCUCGUGUGCAUAUUCACCCUCAGCUUGUGAAAAAUAUUUGACAGUGAUUGUUCUGAAAGAUAGUGUAGUGAUGUACAUAAACGAAACAUGGCAUUUUCAAAUCAAAAAUAUCUUUCAGAGCCAUGUUUUGUUUUGAUUUACAGUUCGCUAUGACAAUUGAAUGACCUUUUCAAUUUGUAGUUGAAUGUCACACGGUCUAUCAUUUCUGUUACACACCUUAAUCAAGAGGUGUGCUGUGUUUCUGUGGUGAUUAGAGUGACAAGGUGGCUCAGCAGAACUCAUUGAGUUCAUUGAUUUACUGUUAAUUCAUGUGACCUUUCAUUUGACUGUUGUCUUAUUCAUUGUUUAAUUAUACCUUCUGCACUAUCCCCU